UGGUUGGUUCCCUGCCAGUGCGUAUACGCUCUUUUUAAAGACUAAGCCAUGCACGUGCUAGUACAUACAUUUAAAAUGUGAGACUGCGGACGGCUCAGUAAAUCAGUUAUAAUCUGCUCGAAUGUAAAGGUUAUUGGAUAACCGUGGGAAAUCUAGAGCUAAUACAUGUAAUAAAGGGUAUGAGCAAUCAUACUCGAUGGCAUUUAUUAGAUAAUGACCAACCGUGAGUGCAAACUUACGUGGUGAAUCUAGAUAACUGUGCAGAUCGUAUGGCCUUGAGCUGACGACAUUUCGAUUGAAUUUCUGCCCUAUCAACUUUUGUCGGUAGUGUAGUGGACUACCGAGGUUUUUACGGGUGACGGGGGAUCAGGGUUCGAUUCCGGAGAGGGAGCCUGAGAAACGGCUACCACAUCCAAGGAAGGCAGCAGGCGCGCAAAUUACCCAAUCCAGACAAUGGGAGGUGGUGACGAAAAGUACCGGAUGACGAUCUAUGAUUGUCAAUCUGGAAUGGAAUCAAUUUAAGCAAUUGAUUGAGUAACUACUGGAGGGCAAGCCUGGUGCCAGCAGCCGCGGUAAUUCCAGCUCCAGUAGCGUAUCUCAAAGUUGCUGCGCUUAAAACGCUCGUAGUUGGAUCACAGACUAUUCACCGGUGGGUAUUGAAGAUAUGUCAAGUCUGAUGAUUUGGUUGUAUGUCAUCAUAUAGCUUAAAAGUCAGCAGAUGUAGUUUUGUGCCGGAAGCUGGUGGAUAGUAAUUGCACGUGAGGAUAGGCAUUGACCUUGAGUGUGUUGGUGCUUGUGUCUCACGGAGUGUGCCUUGAGUAAAUCAGAGUGCUUAAAGCAGGCUUUACGCUUGAAUGUUUUAGCAUGGAACGAACGAUCGUGUAUGGUGUAUACUGGAAAUGAUUGUUGGACGUAGUUUGACAUCAUCAGUAUACGACACCGACCACCAGUUACGGAUGUUGGUUCCGUAUUGGGGUAUAGAUUAAGAGGAGCGGUUGGGGGCAUUGGUAUUUGGCAGCGAGAGGUGAAAUUCUUGGACCUGCCAACGACUAACUAAUGCGAAGGCAUUUGUCCAGACCGUAUCCAUUAAUCAAGAACGAUAGUGAAAGGUUCGAAGAUGAUUAGAGACCGUUGUAGUUUUCACUGUAAACUAUGCCGACCCGGGAUCAGUUUGGAGCUAUGUUCCAUGCUCGGAGUUGGUCCCCCUGGGAAACCUAAAGUUUUUCGGUUGCGGGGGGAGUAUGGUCGCAAGGCUGAAACUUAAAGGAAUUGACGGAAGGGCACCACCAGGGGUGGAGCCUGCGGCUUAAUUUGACUCAACACGGGACAACUUACCUGGUCCGAACAUCCGAAGGAUACACAGACUGAUAGAUCUUUGUUGAUGGGGUGAUGAGUGGUGCAUGGCCGUUCUUAGUUCGUGGAGUAAUCUGUCAGGCCAAUCCCGGUAACGAACGAGACUACGAUCACCAUUUGACAAACUGAAGAAGGCAGCAUUUACCAGUUGUUGGCAACGACAAUCAUGUAAAUUCUGUCGUAGGCAAUAUUAAUGGUUUGUAGUAUGGCUUUUUUCGGAAGGCUAUUACUGCAAAUUGUUAAUAUUCCCUUCAGUCAAAAAGUAUGCUGUGAAUACUGUAUAUUUUAUCAUGGUGAGACAGCGGAAUAUAUUACAAAAUCCGAGGAAGUGUAGCUAUAACAGGUCCGUGAUGCCCUUAGAUGUUCAGGGCUGCACGCGCGCUACAAUGAUAUUAACAACGAGUUUCUUAAUCGAAAGAUUUGGGUAAUCUUGCAAUUAAUAUCGUGAUGGGGAUCGACGUUUGUAAAUACGUCGUGAAAGAGGAAUCCCUAGUACGUGCGAUUCAUUUAGAUCGCGCGGAUUGCGUCCCUGCCCUUUGUACACACCGCCCGUCGCUACUACCGAGUGAAUCGUGUCAUGAUACCUUGGGAGCGGACGUUACCUGAGCCUUGUGCUUGGUGUAAUGCUGCAAUCAGCGUAAAAUGGCGCAAUUUCGAGGAAGUAAAAGUCGUAACAAGGGUUUCCGUAGAA
rnacentral:rRNA from 1 species